UGGCUACAUCAUGUUUAAACACUGGUUACUGUAUGAUCACUGGAAUUAAGCAACAUUGAGCACAGCCAGUACCUAGAUGGGUGACCACUUGGGAAUACCAGGUGUUGUAA